UGUUAGCCUCUGUUGGCAGUCCU
rnacentral:misc_RNA from 1 species